CGUUGCGAAGGAAGCGGCGUCGCCGGUUGCUACGAUGGCGGCCCUGUUGCCGGCGGAGCGAGGCUAAAGUGCCUCAAAAAAGAGCCGAGAACCGCUCCCGGUCCCCCCGGUAGGGCGGCAGCGGGCCCGGGUCGCCUCAUGGAGCCCGGGGGGGCAGCGCUCGGCCGCUGCCUCCAGCGCUGGGCAGCGGGCGAGGGGGGUGCUAUGGCGGAUCCCGGAGCGGACGGAGCUUUAACAUUUCAUUUUGGAUGGGAUUUAGAAGAAGAGCGCUGGGCAUUGAAAGAAGAUCAAAAGCUAUUUCGGAGUAAGGCACAGAAAUAUCUGAUAGAGACAAACAGAAGAAGAAGAGCCUUUGAAGAAAGAUGGAAGCAAAAAGAAGAAAAAGAACAAAGACUAAGAGACAAAGUUCUGCAACAGAGGAGGAUUAAACUUCAAGAAGCAACUGAGAGGUUCCAGCGUGCUCAUCUGCCUGCUUCUCAGCACAAACAAAUAGUCCAGACAAAAGCAGCUUUUCAGCUAGAAGAAGCUCUUGAACAAAUUAAAGGAUCAGUUUUAACAUCAGGAUUGUACUUGCCCAGCAGAAACAAAACCACCUUCAGAGCCACAGAUGACACUUCAUCCUCAUCAGCAUCUAGAAACGGUUAUUCCCAUCAGGAGCAGAUUUCAGCAAUGGUUGGCUACGAUAACACAAUGCAGGAGAGCAGUACAACAGGCAUGGAUAGUAACCAACUUCUAUUCCAGAAAAAUCUGAAAGAAAUGCAGCAGCUCCUAGAAAAACAGCAUCUCAGCAACUUGGAGAAUUUUCAAGAAGUUGAGAAAACAGAUGAUUCAGGAAGUUUAUCAAGUCUUGACAGUCUUGAGGCUGGGGAACAAAAUGGAACUUGCAGACCACCAAGUGAAUCACCUUUGACUAUGCAAUGUGACUGUGCCCAGUAUAAUCCUGGAAAAUCACAGACCAGGAGCAAUGAUUUGAUUUAUACAAACGAAAACACUUCUAAAAACAUACAUCUAAAUAAUUGUCAGAGAAAUUUAGAUUCCCAAAACAGCCACAACAACUUACCUGUUCAUGAUCUUUUAGCUAAACAUAAUUUUCUAACUCUUGCUGAAGACGUAAAUAGUUUAGAAGAGAAGUUAUCUGUUUCUCACAGAUCUGAAGAAAAUGCUGUAGAGUUCUUUACUUCUGGUAAUCAAGAAAGCUCUGUAAAUAAAGCAUUUACUUUUCUGAAAAAUAUAAAAGAAGAAAGAAAGAAUCCAUCUUCUGGAACGGCCAGCACAUUGGCCACUGGUCAUCCUGCUUUCAGUCCUUGCAAAGCCUGGGCCAGCCCUGAUUCUAUUCCAGGAGAAAGAAUUCAGGAUCUGAUGCAAGAACAGAGCUUUAAAAUGACCCCACAAAAUAGAAGUAAAUCUGUGCAAACCUUCAGUGAACCUAUUGCAACAUCUGGAAUCUUAUUUCCUAAUCAGAGGUGUUCCACUGGCGUUCCCAGCACAGCUGAUACGUUGCCAAAGGACAAAAACAUUAGUAAAGAUUUUUUUAAAAAUACUUUGGGAAAAGUGAUUGAAACAAAAGGAGAAAGCAUUAGAUGUGUUGAUGACCUUGACCAAGGAUCAUCUUUAUUUCAUGAUGCUUCAGUUCUGUGCAAUAUUAAGCAACAGAAUAACAAGGAGAAAGAAAAGGCAAAUGUGGCUGAAACUAUGUCACUGGUGUCUGAUACAGAAUUCAGUUUUGGCAUCCCUGCAGAGCACAAAACCCUGAAAAACAAUAUUUAUGACAGAAAAAGAGCAAAACUAUUCAGAAGUAUCUUAAAGAAGGAAUCUAAAUAUGAACCCAGUCAUUUCAAAGCUGUGGUUAUGAACCAUGGGAUCAGUUUUGGAACUCGACCUGUGUCUUCUAUCAGAGACAGUUUGGAACUGGCAAAAAUGAAAAAGAAAAGUGCAGAAAAUGAAAAAAAGAAUAGGAAAAUAAGAUGGUGGGAUCAGAUUAACAAGAUAAUAAUGGAAAAUAAUGAAAAACACUAUGAAAAAAAUACCAAUGAAAUAUCUUCUGCACAGCUGCAAUGUCUUCAAAAUGCAAGUGAUUCUCCUUGGACUAAUUUAAGUAUGGUUGUUCACCCUUCAAACACCAGGUUCACAAGAAAUCACCAGGAAAAUUCUCAUAUAUCAAACCCAAAUGUUAAUUCUGGAACAUCAAAUAAAGAAUGCAUGUCUCUGAAUACGUUUAUGUCUACUGGAUCCUCUUUUGCUAAAAAAGCUUGGAUGAUAUCAAAAGAUGAAGAAAGCAAACCCCCGGAAUGUAAUAACAAAUCUAAAAUUCAUGAAGGUAAUCAACACAAAAAUAAGCCAAAAAUAACCAGAAGACCAAGACCCAUAGGAACCCAUCCGGGUUCUAUGCUGAAGAACGGAAGAGGCACUCUGGUCCAACCACAGUCGGCUUCUGAAGCCAACACAGUUCCAGCAGCUCAAGGCAGGGUGUUGGUACCUCAUCCACCAUCCGCACCUACAACAGGAAACACAAGUGGCAAAACAAUGGUCAGCCUGGGGUUUCAGCCACGGCCUUCCUCUGGUCUUCAAUCUGCCACUAGAAAUGGUGUUGUUCCUGUUACAAGACAAAAACAGAUUUUUGACAACUGUGAGCAUAAACACAGAGCUUUUUCAGAACAGAGAAGCCAAACUGUGGCAUCUAAAAAGACGUCUACUCAUCAUACACAGAAAAACUUGCAAGUACACCAGCUGCAGAAGAUGAAAUCCUGGCAGCUAUGGAAGGUAUGCAACCAGCGAGACAACCCUUUCUGCUUACCAGGGCUCCGUGUCUAGGCAUGAGUGCACUUUCAGUAGAAGAAGAGAAGAUUUUUCAGUCUCUUGAUCGUCUCAACCAAAGGCUACAAAAGUGUUCAGCAGUGUAUAUCCUCCCCUUUGGUGAAUACUACAGUAACCACCCAGCAGUACCAGAAUGCAUCAGCUAGCAAUCAGUUGCAAUUCCACAGGAAAUACUGAUAUUCUCCUUAAAAAGGUGCUCCAGUAUAUUGCAGCAUUAUGUACUUUUUAUGUGUGUAUUAUUUGACACUAUAAAAUUAGCCAUAAAAUAAAGAUGAAAGCAGUAACUCGAGUAAUGAAUGUCAAUUGGCUGUUAAGCAUUUUUAGGAUAAUUAAGUCUAUUUUAUUAUGCACUUUAUUGUAAAACACUGUAUAUUAAAGCAAUGAAAAUACCUCACAUUUUUAGCAUUUAUAUUGGUAGCAUAAAUUUCCUGUACCUGUAAUUAAAGUGAAGAAAAAAAAAAUCACUACUUAGAUUAUGUGUAAACCAUUUCUGUGUUUUUUAGGAUUUGCUAAUAGACUCUAUUACAUUUGUAAAUGAUACAUUGUAAAAGUGAUUUGAUUAUCAGUAAAUAAUGCAUGGAGUUUCAUCUUUUUCCUUUAUUAUCAGUGGCUAUAUUGCAAAUUAUUGCAGACUGUCUGCAGUAAUUACUAUCUUAUUCAGUAGCUACAUCUGAUGGUACUGAAGCUGACUAUGCUCCCAGUAUCAUACGUCUUCUGCUUCUCCUUCAUACUUCUACUGCUUCUUCCUGAAUUUGUUGGAGGUUCCUGUUCUCCAGCUUUCCUCAAUGUUUUUCAACGUUUGCACUUAAAGAGCAGUUCUUCCUCAGCUCCUCCUGUGAAGGAACCCAGGCUGAAACUGGCAGGAAAUUAGAAAAAUUCCUGGGGAAGGACAAAUACAACAAAGGGUAUGUAGAUGCACUUUCACUGAAGCACAUUGGGGAAACCUUUAUACAUCAAUGGCAGUUUUGGGCUAAAAUAAUUAUUCUAGAAACACAACACCAUAAGCACUCAGCUAGCUCAACAGCAAAAUGUGGUUUUUGUUUUUCCUCAUGAGCUUUACCUUGGUCAUCCACAUUACACAAUCUCCACAUAAGGAGAGUUACAAGCAACUAAAGUGGGGACAACAGGCCUGGAGAGGAGGACUCCAUUCCUGUCUUUAAGAUAGACAGAUGGAGCCAAAUAAUAACAUAUUCUGCAUAAGGGUAUAUAUAUUCCAAGAACAUGACUAAAUGUCUUUCUGCAGAGCUUGGUGCACUUGCAGUUGUCAUUGUAAGUGGUUAUUUUGGAGGGCAAUUUGGUUUUGACAGUCUUGGACUGACGGAUUAUACAUUGGUCCUUCAAUUUUAAGUUCACCUGUUGCAUGACUAUUAACAUGUCAACAGAUUUGUCUUGGUGAUAAACCUGUCUGCAUUGCCACACCAGUUCUAGAGCAAAGGCCUUUUGUUAGUUAACUAGCAUGACACCUAAAUCUGUGAGAUUUGAUAAUUUUUAAGGAGUAGUAACUUUUUAACCUCCUCUCAUUUUCUCUUCCUCUGCUGUUUCAGUGCAAAGUAGAUAAAUAUUGCAAAAAGCUGUAGAAGCCAUACACAAUGCACAGAACCGGUCAACAAAUCUAAGCUGGUAACCAUCUUCAAGAAACAAUAAAAGCAAUUUACUAAAUCUCUGGAUUUAUAAUUCCCUAUUACAUGUCUGAUUUUCCUUUUAUUAUCUACACAGUAAAAAUUGUGGGGUUGGCUUUGGGACUUAAGCACUCGUAUUUCCAUCAGUGCUGCCUAAAUGCUACACAGUGUUAUUGCCAGCCUUUGUUAGAGUGUUUGGGAGCUUAGAAGAGUAUUUCAGGAGUGGGCCGAGUGCUCUACUAGUGCAACCACAGAAACACACACUCAGAAGGACAUAAGCACUUCUCUGGAUAGAACACAUCUUCCCAGAAGAAGCAAUCAAAAAAUAUUUGGCAAAAGUAUUUUUAAAACUGUUAUUCACAAUCCUAAAAAGACCAUCACACCAGUACCUUUAAUUAGUGCUGCCGUUGCUUAGGAGAGAACCAACCUGUCAAACGGAGACAAAAGGAAAACAAGUGCCCAACACAGAAAUGGAAAGUUUAUCAGGAAAUUAGGGCUACCUGCUGGUGGGUGAUAUCAGCCACAAUUAAGAACAGUUUGUAGCAAACAGCAGCAGAAAUUUUACAAAGGAAGUUUAGGGAAAGAUUGUUUUUCUCAAAACAAUGUUUUGAAGAAUGAAAGGAUGCUAGCUUUCUCCUCUAGCUAGGCACUGCAACGUCUUUGGGGAAAAAAAUCUGAUAGACUUGAAAGGGCUGACUUCAGUCUGGAGCCUGUUAAAAUAAAUUGUACUUAAACACCAAAACUGCAGAAACUCGGAGUCCCCUUCUGAUUGCUGUUGCCAUCUGCCCUGUCCCCGCUGCCAGUAGGGGGAAGCUAUAGCUGCAGUCCACAAGCCUAAAGGAUUGCAAUGUGUGUUAGCCCUUAUAGGGUCUUUGGUGUUCAAAUACAUGUUAAAUACCCAGCAGAAGACAUCCAUGUAUCUUCAGAGCAAAUGAACAAAGACCUUCUGAGUUUGACUUCAGGAUUGGUUUGCACUGAAAAAACUCAGCCCUCACAUCUCUGUUUGUAUGCAGUAUGCUGCAACAUUCCAGUAUGGUGAGGAUUUAAUAUUUAAAUAGUGAGGGGAAGUUUCCCCACAGAGAUUAAGAGACGGAAAGCAAAUAAUCCAAAUACCAGAGGCCAUGGAUCAAAAACAACUCUUGCUAGUCAGCAAGCCAGAAUGCCAGCUUAACCAGGUUUCUUCUCCCAUUAAUCGGUUUAGGUGGCAAAAGCAAAGCCAGAGAGUCAGCUUCCUCUCGUAAUUACACAGUGAGAUUUUUCAAAGCCAGGUGCCUGCAUUUAAGUUUCUAGGAAAAUAUUUUCAAGUAGGAUACUUGAUUUAGGGUUACAGGCUUCAACUCAAAGAAGAUAACCUUGUUUCUUAGAUUGCUUUGACUCCUUUGACAAUAUUAAAGUAUAGUUUUUGUUUAGGUGUCUCAACAGUGUGAUUCUCAGAAGUAAGGAAUGUGCGUUAGGGCAGCGAGACCAGGGGCAGCUGCUGGAUUCUGAGCACUUCAGAAGAGCCAACGAGCCCUUUUUUUCCCAUUACUUGAUGGAUUCUUCAGAUUGAUAUCUACAGAUCUUUCUAUUCAUCACAUAGAAAUAAAUAAUGAUGAUGAUGAUAAAUAAUAAUAAAGCAGAUAACUUAAUUUUUCAAGUUAACUGCACUAAAAUCAACAAGAUUGGUUUAGACAAACAUUAAAAUUUGGGUACCUUAGACUUCCUCCUAAAACUCUUCAGUCUGCCUGCCAUUUUUGUUGCUUAAAAAAAAAAAAAAAAAGUCCAUAUUCUUUCUAAAAUUAAAUUUUAGUAUGAAAACAUAUGGAAAACAGGUUAAAAAUUAUGGUUUCCAAUACAAGCCUAAAUGCUCUCCUUCAAAAAUAACCUUGUAUCCUCAGUACCUGUCCUUCACCAUUUGGUGAAGUAUGCUUUAAGCAAAAAUCUGAAGUCCAACACAUCACAUGAAGUCAUACAGAGGAGCUGGAGCUCAAAAAUUAAUUCUGCAUUGCUGAAAUUAAGCUUCUACUUUUCACAGAAAACAAACGUGUUUUUCUUUUUGGAAAGAAAUUUGCUGUUUUACUCUUCUUCUUAUUCUAAUUUGUUCCUUUGGGCUCAACACUGGUUGAAUUGGCCCAUCCAUGAAUCGUGGAUUUGUAAGGGAUAUUUACCUGUGGUGUAACAUUGCACUAACACAACUGCUUACUAAUAUAAUAAUAUUUCACUAAUACUAUUCACAAUAUUUUACUACUACUACUAAAUACUAUACUACUAAUGCUACUACUACUACUACCUAGGCAAACCCAACUGUGAUUGCCUUCAGCCUGACAACAAGGCAGCAGCCAGGGAGAAUAUUCCAAACAGGUCCCAAACAGCAGCAGAGUGGAGCUGGAUGAAGGUGUCGUUGACAAGCAGCCUCCCACCAGGUGAAGGCUGGGGUUAGGAGAAAGAAGCUGAGGCUAACACAAACUUGAUGCCCACCAGGGGUCUGCAGGGCAUGAAAGCACCUCAGGCAAGGUGCCCUUCUCAGGGGCUGUGGCUGCUGGUGGUGCCAUGGAGGCAGCAGCUGUGGAUGUGAGGGGUGGGUGAAGCUGCAGGGACAUGUGUGCUGGUGGGGACAGGCAAGGAGAUGGGGCCUGGCUGGGUUGCUGCCACAGCAGCCCAGGGUUUUUGGACAAGACUCUGAUUCUCCAUCCCCUUCUGGCAUUUUCGGCCAUCCAGGGGCAGCAGGGGCCUUGCUUGCUGGAGAGGUCUUGGUGGUGGCAAUAACUGCAGUGGUGAGAGGAGGCAAGAGGGGGCUGGGAGGAGCCAGAGACCUUCCUCUUCCAGCCACUGUUCUGGCUAAUUUGCUUUCAUAGGGAAAAAUUAUUUUCUGCAGCUUCCAGAUUCAGAGGGUAAUGGACCUGCAGCAUUGUGAAGGGACUGGCCAGCUGUACUUCAUGCUUCAAACGUUUUAAAUGCUAUGUUUACUGUCAAAAGGAGCACGCAUAAAUCUCUACUCUAAUGAUGUUUGAGGAGCAGCGAGCAUUUGUGUAAAAUGGCACUGCCUUUUUAUAUACUGCACACUGUUAGGAUUGAGGGUACCUCGAAACGUUUGAGACUAAAAGGCCCUCUUGAGAGCUGCAUUUACUGGUCUUAGUAAAUGUGUAUAGAAAUGUACAGUAUUUAGUACACAGGUCUUUGAGUUGUAUGGCAGGAGCCAUGGUAAAGCUCCUGCUGUGGAUGAGAAUGGGACUGAUGCUGUCAAGUUCUGCGAACAAAACCAGAAUGACAACGCACAUUAGAAAACAAAUCAGCAAACGAUGGACAGACUGAAUAUGGGGAGCAACACCAAAAACAUGUGGCUGUUGGUGUGUGGGAAUGAUCAGACUCACUUGUCAUCAAGCACAAUGAAACACUAAAAUCUGCUCAAUCACAUAUAGAGAGGAGGUUCCACAUUCUUUAAUCAUCCUUAUCAUAAUAUUCAUAAUAGAUGGCUCAUAAUGAGUCCUGCUCUCUAACACCACUGCUUUUAUAAGAGAGAAUUCACCCAGGGUGAAUUUGAUCCUAUAUAACUAGAGAUGACUGCACAAUGUUUUUGGAAUUGUAUCUGAAAUUGUAGCCACAAGAUUCCUUCAAUAUUGAAUAUAAAUCCCAAGCCAGCAACAAUGGUGGCACUAAUCCAGGUGACAGAAGUGACUGUGGGUGACACAAAUCUACAUAUAAUGUAUUAUUGUAUAUAUUACUUUUGUGUUUGAGAAGAAAGGAGUUGUUCAGCAUUUGUAUUUAAUUUGUAUCCAAUAGUCCAUGAUCUUUCAGAGUGACAAGGAGAGAAAGAAUAAAGAAAAUUGGAAGAGGAGAAGGAGAAGGAGAAGGAGAAGGAGAAGGAGAAGGAGAAGGAGAAGGAGAAGAGAAGGAGAAGGAGAAGGAGAAGGAGAAG